UUGCUGACUUGAUCUUGAGGGCUGGUGUCAUAACCACACACACCUGGAUAGGACUCCGUGAGUCCAUGCCGGGCGGUUCCUUUGUUUGGACUGAUGGUGCCACAAACCUUGUCUAUGAAAAGUUUGCUCCUGGACAGCCUAGCGGCCCAAAAGGAAUAGAAGACUGCGUGUACAUUGAGGGAACUAAUGAAGAGUGGUACGACAACGACUGCAAAGUCAUGAACCCCUUUGUUUGCGAGGGUCCGAAGCCCCAGCCUUAGUUUUGCAUGAGCAAACUAUGACACUGCAUGCCAUAAAUUGGCCAUGAGGCUUUUAAAUCUGUCCCACAGAACGUUUCCAAAUUCUUUUUAUCCAACUUUAACAUUCAAUGCUGUUGAAUAAAUGCUUUCUGAAUCCCAAAGGGUGACUGGUGGGGCGUGCAGAGCAGCGCUUGUCAGUGUGGAGGACAGACCAACAAGAAUCCUACAACAAAAUAAUGUAGAAAACGUGCAUUUUAUUGGACAUUUGUGCGUAUGUUUUCUGGUUUGGCUGUGUUGUUUGUCGCAUUUUGGCUGUGUUUGUGCUGAAUGGCAAACAUGUCAAGGAGGUUUACAUACUCUUGAUGUGUUAUUGUUCAUUACACUCUGUGUCCUAUUCAAUA